rnacentral:rRNA from 1 species
AACGAACGCUGGCGGCGUGCUUAAUACAUGCAAGUCGAACGUGAAGCCCGGGCAACUGGGUGGAAAGUGGCGAACGGGUGAGUAACACGUAAGUAAUCUACCUCUAAGUUUGGGAUAACCCUGCCAACGCGGGGCUAAUACCGGAUGUGAUCACUGGAACGCAUGUUUCGGUGAUUAAAGGUGCAAACCGCUUGGAGAUGAGCUUGCGGCCCAUUAUGCUUGUUGGUGAGGUAACGGCUCACCAAGGCUGCGAUGGGUAGCCGGCCUGAGAGGGUGUACGGCCACAUUGGGACUGAGAUACGGCCCAGACUCCUACGGGUGGCUG